UGCCCUCUGCCACCCCACAUUGCGGAACAGAGAUUGCAAAAUGUUGACCUGAGGCCAUAUCUGUCUUUCAGAAAAGCCUUGGCUUUUCCCAGAUGAGAAAGCAGAACAAGGCCAGGAGGCAUGGGAAGCGAUGGGUGCUCUGGUUGAUCAUAGGAGCUUCUCUCUCCAGAGGAGCAGGGUGGCAGGAUGCCCAGGGUGGUGGGAAAGCCUUACGUCUCCUGUUCUGGAGAUGAACAGGGCUUCUUCCUGAGAACUCUGGAUGCAGCCCAAAGCCUGCUCUGCCUUCCCUGCAGGCCAAUGAGGCCCAGAAGAUGAGCGCAGCUCUGCCUUGGGCACGUCUGUACCUGGCAGGACCUUCCUUUCCUUCUCCUUGGAGCCUGGUUGGGGGCACCAGCGA
rnacentral:lncRNA from 1 species